rnacentral:lncRNA from 1 species
ACAAUUCACCAAAUGUCCAAAGCCUUUGUACCAUCGAAAUAGCACGCCACAAUUUUUUUUACUUUAGAGGGAGAGUAUUAAACUCAUCUAAUUAGGCAAACUUCAAUCCUUUGAGAACUAAAAGAACAAGCUUACUGAAUAGACUAAAAGAUUCCUAUAAUAUACCAAAAGGUCUCAAUCAGCAGAGAAAGAACUUUCACUCAAGUACACUACUCCAUCUUACCAUAGGAACUUGAGAGAAAUUACACAGAUCCUCAAGAUACUCUCUCGAUAUCAGAUGACCAUAACAGGGGGAGCAAUGAGGCCAACUUUCAUGCUCAAAUAACACGAGAGAAGCAUAGACAGAUACAGUUAACACACGACCUCACUGGGCUGAAUCUAAUACUUUUUAAUUCAAAAUUAAAUAAGAAUUACUACAACCCUUGCUAUCUAAGCAUGAUUAGCAUUCCAUUCAUAGAUGAGCUUCCAUUUACUAUUACAUAGCCAAGAAUCCAAACGUUCAUUCUAAAUGGCUAAAACAAAUUCAGACCAUUGAGCGUGGAUAGAUAGCUUAACACAUUUGAAAGAAAAAUAAUGAAUUACUUCAUAACAGGGAACUUAAAAGGCAUAAAACAGACAUUCAACAUUAAACAAAACUUCAAUUCAAAAUUUGACACAAAUUUUCAAUUCUGCAUACAGAUUCAAAUUGGCUCUAAUUUGCAGCACCUCAUUUUUUAGCGAAUGGUAUGAGAAAAUACCUAUAAAUAUGAAGAAAACAACAUCAAAGUAAUCAAAGGUCCAGCAACAACAGUGCAACAAAUAAGCCUCAUAUUCAAUCAAUUUUUCAAUGAAAUCAAUUCAUAAACCAAUGAAAUCGUAGCUUAACCAUAGGAUCUACCUAGAAUUUUCAACAUGAACCAAUUUCAAGCCAUUUCACACACUCAAAUAUGGUCAACUAUCAUUCAAGGAUGAGAGACUUCAAACCCAAAGUAGAAAUCUUAAUGAAACAAUAUUUUUCUUCAAUUUUCAGCCGUUUUAUGAAUUUUCUGAAUUUUUA